GCAGAAACCGAGUUUCACUGUGUCUGGAGGAACAAGGAAUGCAAAGGCUCAGCCCCACCUGGCCCUUCUGGAGCCUUUCAAGCCCAUGGAUCUCCGAGGGUAAUUUCAGCCUGACUUUGGAGUACAAGGUGGAGAAAAGACAAG
rnacentral:lncRNA from 1 species